CAGAAGCCGAAGCAGCCGGACGUGCCGA
rnacentral:sRNA from 1 species